GGCCCUGCGCUAUCAGAUGAGCCUAGGUCGGAUUAGCUAGUUGGUGAGAAUGGCUCCCCCAAGGGCGACGAUCCCGUAAACUGGUCUGAGAGGAUGAUCAGUCCACUGGAACUGAGACACCGGUCCCAGACUCCUACGGGAGGCAGCAGUGGGGAAUAUUGGACUGGGCGAAAGCCUGAUCCCAGCCCAUGCCGCGUGUGUGAAGAAAGGUCUUUCGGGAUUAAAGCACUUUAAGUUGGGAGGAAGGGGCAUUAACCUAAUACGUUAGUGUUUUGACGUUCCGACAGAAUAAGCACCCGGCUAACUCUGUGCCCAGCGAGCCGCGGUAAUACAGAGGGCAAAGCGUUAAUCGGAAUUACUGGGCGUAAAGCGCGCGUAGGUGGUUUGUUAAGUUGGGUGAAAUCCCCGGGCUCAACCUGGGAACUGCAUUCAAAACUGACUGACUAGAGUAUGGGAGGGUGGUGGAAUUUCCUGUGUAGCGGUGAAAUGCGUAGAUAUAGGAAGGAACACCAGGCGAAGGCGACCACCUGGACUAAUACUGACACUGAGGUGCGAAAGCGUGGGGAGCAAAGGAUUAGAUACCCUGGUAGUCCACGCCGUAAACGAUGUCAACUAGCCGUUGGAAGCC
rnacentral:rRNA from 1 species